GACGAACGCUGGCGGCGUGCUUAACACAUGCAAGUCGAACGGAAAGGCCCUGCUUUUGUGGGGUGCUCGAGUGGCGAACGGGUGAGUAACACGUGAGUAACCUGCCCUUGACUUUGGGAUAACUUCAGGAAACUGGGGCUAAUACCGGAUAGGAGCUCCUGCUGCAUGGUGGGGGUUGGAAAGUUUCGGCGGUUGGGGAUGGACUCGCGGCUUAUCAGCUUGUUGGUGGGGUAGUGGCUUACCAAGGCUUUGACGGGUAGCCGGCCUGAGAGGGUGACCGGCCACAUUGGGACUGAGAUACGGCCCAGACUCCUACGGGAGGCAGCAGUGGGGAAUAUUGCACAAUGGGCGGAAGCCUGAUGAAGCAACGCCGCGUGCGGGAUGACGGCCUUCGGGUUGUAAACCGCUUUCGCCUGUGGCGAAGCGUGAGUGACGGUAAUGGGUAAAGAAGCACCGGCUAACUACGUG
rnacentral:rRNA from 1 species